GACAGAUGGGAGCUUGCUCCCUGAAGUCAGCGGCGGACGGGUGAGUAACACGUGGGCAACCUGCCUGUAAGACUGGGAUAACUCCGGGAAACCGGGGCUAAUACCGGAUAAUUCUUUCCCUCACAUGAGGGAAAGCUGAAAGAUGGUUUCGGCUAUCACUUACAGAUGGGCCCGCGGCGCAUUAGCUAGUUGGUGAGGUAACGGCUCACCAAGGCAACGAUGCGUAGCCGACCUGAGAGGGUGAUCGGCCACACUGGGACUGAGACACGGCCCAGACUCCUACGGGAGGCAGCAGUAGGGAAUCUUCCGCAAUGGACGAAAGUCUGACGGAGCAACGCCGCGUGAGUGAUGAAGGUUUUCGGAUCGUAAAACUCUGUUGUUAGGGAAGAACAAGUACCGGAGUAACUGCCGGUACCUUGACGGUACCUAACCAGAAAGCCACGGCUAACUACGUGCCAGCAGCCGCGGUAAUACGUAGGUGGCAAGCGUUGUCCGGAAUUAUUGGGCGUAAAGCGCGCGCAGGCGGUUCCUUAAGUCUGAUGUGAAAGCCCCCGGCUCAACCGGGGAGGGUCAUUGGAAACUGGGGAACUUGAGUGCAGAAGAGAAGAGUGGAAUUCCACGUGUAGCGGUGAAAUGCGUA
rnacentral:rRNA from 1 species